GUGGAUUGAUGGCAGCACCGCAUCUGGAACUCCUGUGAGCGGCCUGUUAACGAGGUGUGUCAACUCGAAAAGGAUUGAUCGUGAAAAAUGACAGAGUACUGUGGAUUGAUGGCAGCACUGCAUCUGGAACUCCUGUGAGCGGCCUGUUAACGAGGUGUGUCAACUCGAGGGAAACCAGGCGAGCCGCCCUCGUCUAAGAAGCCACGGGACUCAUUUUGGUGGCCUGCGUCUCACGUUUGGGCACAGUCUCACUGUCGAUUUGUUUGCAAGCGAAGUCUUGAUAACGAUUCUAUGCUGCUGUUUUCCGCUUGGACAGUUUCCCCUUCCUUAUUUUCCUGGUGCUCUGUUCCGAAGGGCGCCCCACUCCUUCGUCUGGUGGUUUUUCCCGUUACUCCCUUACGCGGCAGGAUUGCAUGGGUAUAGCCGCUGCGCUCUACAUCCGUGUGUUUUUCCGCGGGACCUAGACGCUGGGGGUGAACGGUGCAUCCGAAACUCGUCUGUUCUAUACAUGUAUCUGCUGUUCUUCAGGUAGCUUCUCGUCAACUUUUCGGUCGCGAGCAUGCCAGUGAACUGAAAAGAACCCCUUCGCUCCCACUUACGCACGACAAGAGGAGCAACAAAAUCGUUCGGAGCUGGUGUGCGGGGUACCAGUGGACGACAUAUCGACGGACGCUGUCACAAAUACCAAAGGCUUGUCCAUUGGUUCAUGCGUAUACGCAUGGUCUUUGACAUCAGAGAAGACGCCUUGGACUGGACUGAACGAUGGAAAAUGGCCGCGCGUGAAGCGCACUUCAGCCCCAGACGCAGCUGGUUCCUCCUUGAACGCUUUUAAGUGAUGGAAAAUGCCGUUGUCUACAAGCAGAACAGAAGAAUGUCAGAAGGAGAAGGUGCAAAGGGCGCUUCCACGAAGGAUGAUGUGGUGAAUGAGUCUGUACAUUUGGCAAUGCGUACGUUACCAUACCGUCGAAUCACCGCUCGGGUUGAGGUUGUUGAAAUGCUCGCUUGAUUCUUCUUCACGAACAGCGGUACGCCCUAUUUCGAGUAUCGACAUACAGGUCUGCCAGUUUUCUCGGGAAUGAAUCCUCAUCGAUUGAGACGAACGCCCGUUACUCCAUGAAGAGGCAUUCGCAUUUCAUUAGGAAAUCAGUAGUGCGUUAUUCAUCGCACGAAGGUCUCGCAUAGAUGCAAGCUUUUUUCUUUGCCCAUCGGUGUCUCUAUAUCACCGUUCGUAUCAAAGAUAUGAAAACCUGACAUCCUGUGGCUUGUUCAGUAGUAUUGUUUACAGAACCUACGGCGUACAGAGUAUUGACAAGGCGACUGUCGUCUUGGCAGCGUCUGAUUGUCUCUGUCUCAGGUGCACGGCCUCAGGAACAGGGCCUAGGAAAAGGCUGGUUUAUCUGCCUACUCAAGGUAGGAUAACUGAAGUGGACAGGUAAGCUGCAUUUCGCAAGCUACCAGUGUAAGCGUAGAGCCUGUCGAGGGCCUUUCUGCAGUCUAUGGAAUGCAAUCCAUUUGCUGGAUACCUGCGAGAAAAACGAACAACAAGAAUAAAAGUGGCGUACUGGUACAGAUGUUCCGGCAUUCACCACACUAGGCAUAACGACAACAACUCGGGGGAUUGCAGUGUGACGCCUGCUUUAUGCAUCGGACACUGAUUCGCAUCCUGUCGUUUCUAUCGGGAAAAGUGAGCGUAUUCGUAACAGCAGGGUAACGUGACUUUUAUGUACAUCAGAAACUGAUUCGCAGAAUGCCAUCUCUGUUGGAAAAUGUGCGUUUCUUCGACCCAACGAGACAUUUCAUGUGAAAUGGCACCAUAAUCACGAGGCUUGGUUUGGACAACGCGCAAGUGAACCUGCGCGCUCGUCAACUUUGCAUUACAAUACGAUGCACAAGCACCGGAACUCUGUUGUCGAUGACGAAGAACACAUAGCCCGUACUAGAGCCUACCUCACUAUCGCCAAUCCUAUGGCGUACAGUGGACGACUCCUUGGAUCCAGGCGGGCUCUGAACACAUAGGUAGAUGCAUCCCUAGACGGAAAGGGUUCCGACUCCCGCAUUGAAACCCUGAGGUGAACGUCCCAGUGCAUCCAGCUGAAUUCGAAUCUAGCGCAGGUACGUGCAGCAAUCACGCUCCUCCAUCCUGUGUGUACCGGCGACGCAGCGUAAACCCAGCGG